UCGGAUCAUUGCCCUUUGCUCCUGGUGAAUGACUCGAUCAUCAAGACCAAUAGACACUUCCGUUUCGAAGCUUACUGGCAAUUCAUCUCAGGCUAUAAGGAACUCGUAGAACAGUCCUGGACAGCCCCAGUCGGCAACAGCUGCUCUCUAUCCACCUUAAACACAAAACUGUGGCGCUUGAGCAAGGCUCUAAGGGCUUGCAGCAAAAAUAUGGUUGGAGACAUCCAGAAACAGCUUGUUGUGGUAAAUGAGCUGAUCCGGCAGCUUGACACGGCCCAAGAUUUCAGGCAGCUAACGGAGGAGGAACAAGAGCUGCAGAUAAAACUUAAAUCUAGGUCCACGGGACUAGCAGUUCUUCUGAAAAUUAAAUUGAGGCAGAGGAGUCGGGUGCUUUGGUUCAGGGCAACAGACACAAAUACCAAAUUCUUCCAAAGAAAGGCGAAUGCGAGGCACAAGCGCAAUACGAUCCACGUCUUACACGGUCCAGCUGGGGCCGUGUCAAAUUCUGCUGCCAUGGCGGAGCUGGCACACGACCACUUCCGAAAUAUUUUCAGAACUGAGCAAAACACAUCAUCCACCCUUAACUGGGAUGAGCUUGAUCUGGAUCAGGUGGACCCAGAUGGCAUGGAGGCAGGGUUCACCAUGCAAGAGGUAAAGGAUGCGAUCGAUGACAUGCUGGUUGACAAGGCACCCGGACCGGACGGUUUCUCAGGUGGUUUCUUCAAAUCCUGUUGGGAGAUCAUCAAGUGGGAUAUUGUGGCGGCCCUACAUCAGCUCUACCUGUCGGCGUUCUCAGAAUGGGGGUCCCCAGACUUGCCUGCCUGCGGCCUGCGGCGUGGCUCAAGUGGGGGCCCAGCGCGGCCCAUCUUCAUCAGCCCAAGCUCAAGACCCUCACGAGGAGCCAAGCCUCGCGGGGCGGACGACAGGAAGCUUCCUCAAGAGCGGCCUCAUCAAGCAGGCUCGCGAGGAGGCGGAGAGAUCAAUGCAAGGGUACCUCGCGAGGAUCCCAUGAUGCAAGCCAUGACGAUCAAGGCCAGGCGGGCGCCAGGCGGGCGCCGGCCUGCGCAGGGUCCUUGUUUCCCCUUUGGUGCAAAGGGGACAAGCACAUGCCAAGGUAUCAGGCAAAGGUUACCAUUCCGGUGCAACGAGACCAAGACCAGCCGGACGGAGGUCACCGUGGAGCCCAAGACGGCGUCAUCACCAGUGCUUUUGGCAGCCGAAGACCACCUUUGGUCAGGAUAA
rnacentral:rRNA from 1 species